rnacentral:sRNA from 2 species
UGGCAGUAACGUUGAGGUGGCGGAUAACGUUGUGGCGGACCCUCGUUGACGAGGGUCUGACCAGAGGUUGAGGUGAACGGUAGUUUACAAACCAUCUAGCGCCCGGUUAAGUUCAGAGAGUGCAAAACCAUUCACUGAAUUCAUCAUCAAAAUUAACAUUUAUUAAAUAAUUGAGGUUUUGGUCAUUGGACCUUUGGGAGUUCGAGGGUUGGGAUAUUGUGGCGGAGAACCCUAAUUUCUUUUACUUCCCCUUUUUGUGGAAAGUUAGUAUUUCAUUUGCCUCACGGAGGGGCCUUAUGAUG